CCUACGGGAGGCAGCAGUUAGGAAUCUUCGGCAAUGGGCGCAAGCCUGACCGAGCGACACUGCGUGGAGGAUGAAGGUUUUCGGAUCGUAAACUCCUGAACCUGCGACGAUAAUGACGGUAGCAGGCUAAUAGCACCGGCUAACUCCGUGCCAGCAGCCGCGGUAAUACGGAGGGUGCGAGCGUUAUCCGGAAUCACUGGGCGUAAAGGGCGCGUAGGCGGUUUGCUAAGUCCGAUGUUAAAGCGUGGGGCUCAACCCCAUCACGGCGUUGGAUACUGGCAAGCUUGACGGCUGGAGAGGAAGGUAGAAUUACCAGUGUAGCGGUGGAAUGCGUAGAUACUGGUAGGAAUACCCAUAGCGAAGGCAGCCUUCUGGACAGUUAGUGACGCUGAGGCGCGAAAGUGUGGGGAGCAAACCGGAUUAGAUACCCGGGUAGUCCACACCCUAAACGAUGCAUACUUGGUGUUGGCCCGUUGGGGUCAGCGCCGGAGUAACGCGUUAAGUAUGCCGCCUGGAAGACGCCAACGGU
rnacentral:rRNA from 1 species